GCGAUAAGCGCCGGUAAGGUGAUAUGAACCGUUAUAACCGGCGAUACCCGAAUGGGGAAACCCAGUGUGAUUCGUCACACUAUCAUUAACUGAAUCCAUAGGUUAAUGAGGCGAACCGGGGGAACUGAAACAUCUAAGUACCCCGAGGAAAAGAAAUCAACCGAGAUUCCCCCAGUAGCGGCGAGCGAACGGGGAGGAGCCCAGAGCCUGAAUCAGCAUGUGUGUUAGUGGAAGCGUCUGGAAAGGUGCGCGAUACAGGGUGACAGCCCCGUACACAAAAGCGCAUGUGCUGUGAGCUCGAUGAGUAGGGCGGGACACGUGGUAUCCUGUCUGAAUAUGGGGGGACCAUCCUCCAAGGCUAAAUACUCCUGACUGACCGAUAGUGAACCAGUACCGUGAGGGAAAGGCGAAAAGAACCCCGGCGAGGGGAGUGAAAAAGAACCUGAAACCGUGUACGUACAAGCAGUGGGAGCACAGGUUUACCUGUGUGACUGCGUACCUUUUGUAUAAUGGGUCAGCGACUUAUAUUCUGUAGCAAGGUUAACCGUAUAGGGGAGCCGUAGGGAAACCGAGUCUUAACCGGGCGUUAAGUUGCAGGGUAUAGACCCGAAACCCGGUGAUCUAGCCAUGGGCAGGUUGAAGGUUGGGUAACACUAACUGGAGGACCGAACCGACUAAUGUUGAAAAAUUAGCGGAUGACCUGUGGCUGGGGGUGAAAGGCCAAUCAAACCGGGAGAUAGCUGGUUCUCCCCGAAAGCUAUUUAGGUAGCGCCUCGUGAAUUCAUCUCCGGGGGUAGAGCACUGUUUCGGCUAGGGGGCCAUCCCGGCUUACCAACCCGAUGCAAACUGCGAAUACCGGAGAAUGUUAUCACGGGAGACACACGGCGGGUGCUAACGUCCGUCGUGAAGAGGGAAACAACCCAGACCGCCAGCUAAGGUCCCAAAGUCAUGGUUAAGUGGGAAACGAUGUGGGAAGGCCCAGACAGCCAGGAUGUUGGCUUAGAAGCAGCCAUCAUUUAAAGAAAGCGUAAUAGCUCACUGGUCGAGUCGGCCUGCGCGGAAGAUGUAACGGGGCUAAACCAUGCACCGAAGCUGCGGCAGCGAACGUAUCACCCAAGACAACUUUACGGAGUUGACGAUUGACGGAGCGAAGCGACGUCAAAGCGUUCAUUAAAGUCGAGUUGGCUUAGGGAUACGUUCGUUGGGUAGGGGAGCGUUCUGUAAGCCUGUGAAGGUGUGUCGUGAGGCAUGCUGGAGGUAUCAGAAGUGCGAAUGCUGACAUAAGUAACGAUAAAGCGGGUGAAAAGCCCGCUCGCCGGAAGACCAAGGGUUCCUGUCCAACGUUAAUCGGGGCAGGGUGAGUCGACCCCUAAGGCGAGGCCGAAAGGCGUAGUCGAUGGGAAACGGGUUAAUAUUCCCGUACUUGGUGUUACUGCGAAGGGGGGACGGAGAAGGCUAUGUUGGCCGGGCGACGGUUGUCCCGGUUUAAGCGUGUAGGUGUGUGUUCCAGGUAAAUCCGGUUCACUUUAACACUGAGGCGUGACGACGAGGCACUACGGUGCUGAAGCAACAAAUGCCCUGCUUCCAGGAAAAGCCUCUAAGCAUCAGGUAACACGAAAUCGUACCCCAAACCGACACAGGUGGUCAGGUAGAGAAUACCAAGGCGCUUGAGAGAACUCGGGUGAAGGAACUAGGCAAAAUGGUGCCGUAACUUCGGGAGAAGGCACGCUGACACGUAGGUGAAGUGAUUUACUCAUGGAGCUGAAGUCAGUCGAAGAUACCAGCUGGCUGCAACUGUUUAUUAAAAACACAGCACUGUGCAAACACGAAAGUGGACGUAUACGGUGUGACGCCUGCCCGGUGCCGGAA
rnacentral:rRNA from 1 species